ensembl:snRNA U6 U6 spliceosomal RNA
CCGCUCUGGCAGCACACAUACUAAAAUUGGAACGAUACAGAGAUUAGCAUGGCCCCUGCACAAGGAUGACAGGCAAAUUUGUGAAGCAUUCCAUAUAUUU